CCUACGGGUGGCAGCAGUGAGGAAUAUUGGUCAAUGGGCGCGAGCCUGAACCAGCCAAGUAGCGUGAAGGAUGACUGCCCUACGGGUUGUAAACUUCUUUUAUAAAGGAAUAAAGUGAGGCACGUGUGCCUUUUUGUAUGUACUUUAUGAAUAAGCAUCGGCUAACUCCGUGCCAGCAGCCGCGGUAAUACGGAGGAUGCGAGCGUUAUCCGGAUUUAUUGGGUUUAAAGGGUGCGUAGGUUGUUUUUUAAGUCAGUGGUGAAAGUUUGUGGCUCAACCAUAAAAUUGCCGUUGAAACUGGAAGACUUGAGUGUGUUUGAGGUAGGCGGAAUGCGUGGUGUAGCGGUGAAAUGCAUAGAUAUCACGCAGAACUCCGAUUGCGAAGGCAGCUUACUAAACUGUGACUGACAUUGAUGCUCGAAAGUGUGGGUAUCGAACAGGAUUAGAUACCCUUGUAGUC
rnacentral:rRNA from 1 species